GGAGAGUUUGAUCCUGGCUCAGGAUGAACGCUAGCGGCAGGCCUAACACAUGCAAGUCGAGGGGCAUCACGAGGUAGCAAUACUUUGGUGGCGACCGGCGCACGGGUGCGUAACGCGUAUGUAACCUACCUAUAACAGGGGCAUAACACUGAGAAAUUGGUACUAAUUCCCCAUAAUAUUCGGAGAGGCAUCUCUCCGGGUUGAAAACUCCGGUGGUUAUAGAUGGACAUGCGUUGUAUUAGCUAGUUGGUGAGGUAACGGCUCACCAAGGCAACGAUACAUAGGGGGACUGAGAGGUUAACCCCCCACACUGGUACUGAGACACGGACCAGACUCCUACGGGAGGCAGCAGUGAGGAAUAUUGGUCAAUGGACGCAAGUCUGAACCAGCCAUGCCGCGUGCAGGAUGACGGCUCUAUGAGUUGUAAACUGCUUUUGUACGAGGGUAAACGCAGAUACGUGUAUCUGUCUGAAAGUAUCGUACGAAUAAGGAUCGGCUAACUCCGUGCCAGCAGCCGCGGUAAUACGGAGGAUUCAAGCGUUAUCCGGAUUUAUUGGGUUUAAAGGGUGCGUAGGCGGUUUGAUAAGUUAGAGGUGAAAUUUCGGGGCUCAACCCUGAACGUGCCUCUAAUACUGUUGAGCUAGAGAGUAGUUGCGGUAGGCGGAAUGUAUGGUGUAGCGGUGAAAUGCUUAGAGAUCAUACAGAACACCGAUUGCGAAGGCAGCUUACCAAACUAUAUCUGACGUUGAGGCACGAAAGCGUGGGGAGCAAACAGGAUUAGAUACCCUGGUAGUCCACGCAGUAAACGAUGAUAACUCGUUGUCGGCGAUACACAGUCGGUGACUAAGCGAAAGCGAUAAGUUAUCCACCUGGGGAGUACGUUCGCAAGAAUGAAACUCAAAGGAAUUGACGGGGGCCCGCACAAGCGGAGGAACAUGUGGUUUAAUUCGAUGAUACGCGAGGAACCUUACCCGGGCUUGAAAGUUAGCGACGAUUCUUGAAAGAGGAUUUCCCUUCGGGGCGCGAAACUAGGUGCUGCAUGGUUGUCGUCAGCUCGUGCCGUGAGGUGUCGGGUUAAGUCCCAUAACGAGCGCAACCCCUACCGUUAGUUGCCAUCAGGUGAAGCUGGGCACUCUGGCGGGACUGCCGGUGUAAGCCGAGAGGAAGGUGGGGAUGACGUCAAAUCAGCACGGCCCUUACGUCCGGGGCUACACA
rnacentral:rRNA from 1 species